rnacentral:tRNA from 1 species
GAGGGUAUAGCUCAGUGGUAGAGUGCCUGCUUAGCAUGCACAAGGUCCUGGGUUCAAUCCCCAAUAACUCCA